UCUCUCCGUCGACGGCAUGCUCCGUCCAUGAUUUUCCACCCACCCGAGUACUCCUACCGGUGAAUCUCGCCGCUGCAAGGCCGUAGGGGGGCCACACGGUGCUGCGAGCUCCACUCCCUCCCUCCUUGCUCCCUUCCCCCAUCCUUCAUGGAUCCCAACACCAUGCUGGGCAGUUGCUGUGAGGCGUGCUGCGACGUCGCCGCCGUGCUUGCAAGCCGGUGCGACAUCGCCGUCGUGCUGCGACAAUCCGCGUCGAGGUUGUUGCGAGUCGCUGCUGCGAAUGGCGCCAGUCAACGAUGCUUGCAACAGGUGGUGCUGCGACGGAUGUUGUCAUGCUCUGACGACAUCUCGGCCACGACGACGUUACUGCGAUGGAUUUUGCAAUGGAUGCUGCGACAACGCUGUCGUGCUCCGACGACAUCGACGAAUGCUACGACGGAUGUUGCUUCGGUGGCUCGGGCUACUCUGACGAUGCUGCGACGGCUUGCUGCGACGGCGCCACCGUGCUGUGAGCCGGUGGCCAAGCCAUCGGAGUUGCUGUGACGGCGGAGUGCCUGUGAGCUGAUGUUGCCGGCGUCCUGUGAUGCACUGGAGUUUGCUUCGCAUGCGAGAAAUGUGUGUGCGACGUUCUGCAAUGAGAAGAAAGAAGAGAGAAGACUAUGUUACGUUGACUUCCAUCGAAAGGCUAGGAAAGUCCAGAUCGUAUGGUCCAGAAGUUGUUUUGCUUUCCUGCAUUCGGAUGCCGCCUAGCAGCGGCCAAACCUAGCCCUGCUCUGUACCGCCACCCGACCUGCGCGCCGCCACCCCCGACCUGCGCGCCGCCGGCACAACCCGCCCGCCGGUCCCCUCGCACCACCACCGACCCCCGGUCUCCCUUCGCUUAGCCCGCAGUAGCAGAAGAGCCGUCCACGACGAAGGAGCAUCGCCCGCCACCGAGGAGCAGCAGCGCCAUCCGCCGCCAAGGAUCCCCCGCGCCGGGAAGCAGCAGGACCGUCCGCCCAAGGAUCCCCCGCGCCGGGAAGCAGCAGGACCGUCCGCCCAAGGAUCCGCGGCCCCGACGGCUGCUGAGGAGCCGCCCGCCAUUCUUCUUCCAACAUAGGCAACGCCUGUCCCGGUUGACUCCAGUUACCUAGCACCUCCUCCAGAUCUUAACUGGUAGGAUGCAAAAAUUUCCAUGUGCUGGCUACAUAUCCAGUUAUAUCUGUUCAUGCCUGUGAUUUUUCUUCACGAGCUUUUCAUAUUUAGAACUUCAUAUACCAGAGAUGCAAAUUUGCAGAAACUGUAAUGUAGAUAUAGUAGUCCUGGAGAAAGAACGAACUCCAUAAUAUAUUAGGUUAUUCUGUAUAUUUCCUAGUUUCAGUGAGCCAUCUGAAUCUCUUAAAAGCGUUUCAGUGUGCCUAUGAGAGUAGAACCACAUAAUGUUUCAUAGUACAAUGUUCAAUGUACUCCCUCCGUAAACUAAUGUAAGAGCGUUUAGAUCACUACUUUAGUGUUCUAAACGCUCUUAUAUUAGUUUACAGAGGGAGUAUUUGUGGGCAUCAAGCUGUGAGUAAUAUAUUUGAUCAUGUUUCAACUCUGUAUGUGCAAUAAGACUAGCUAAGAGAGAAAAUUACAUUUCCUGCUAAAUGAUCAUCACUUAUACAUGACUUUUUGAAGCUAGGGUGUAUGGAAUCAGAUGGUAGACAAACUCAUUCUGCAAAUUGACUAUUAUUCAGAAUGGUGCCGUGAUUUGAUUUUGUCGUAUCCUAGUCCAACUUAUCUAGCAUUGCAGCAGCUGCCUACAUGAUGGGGGCCCCUGAACAUACCUGCGCCGUUUAUCUGUAAAAUCUGGUUCAACUUUUGCUGCUGUAUUUAGCUUGCUUGUCUCACAUGCGUGUUUCUUGAGUUCGAGUGACAAAGUAAAACUGAUUUGAUUUUAUUGGAGGUUCCCAACAUAGUUUUUCCUUUUUUCAUAUUUUUUUUGUUAAACUGAUUUGAUUUUAUGCCCGCUUUACGUAUUGUGUUUCUUCUUAAAUUGACUCAGAUUCUGAUAUUGCCUACACCAAGGCACAAUGAUGAAUUCUAGGAAGGAUGCUCAUGGUACACAACAUCCUUACUUCGUAUUCACCUAUCUGAAUGCUGUACAGCAUCAAUGCUUUGUUAAUGCUAAGUCCCUUGAUUGAUUUUGUGUGCAGAAAGGAAAGGCUAUGUUGUCUUAACAAGGAUGAAAAGUAUAACAACAUACACAAACCAACGUGGACAACCCAGAUCUGUUAAAUUGUUUAUGUCAUUUAAGUUGUCUCUAGCAUUUGCUAUAAUGCAUAAAAUCCUGGUAUGGGUUAAAUUGCUAAACCUUCAAAACUGCUCAUUGGAGUGAGGACGUGGUCGGACAUUCACCCUACCAUCCACAGACUCAUUGUUGCAUAUCAUAGUGCAUACAACCUUUUUCACAUGUGUUAUCUUAUUUUACCAUGGAUAAUGCAUUGCUUAUGUAUAUUCAUUUGUUGUCUGCUUUACAGGACAGAUGGGACCUGGAAGAUACACCAGAAACAGAAGAAAAAGUUCUUAAAAUUGCGAAAGAGCGAUAUAGAGGCUGGCGAUCAACUGCAAGCUCCACUUACAAGGCAUACAAAACAGAUGCAGCUAGAUUGGCUAAUCUGCCGGAAGAUUUACAAUCAGAAGAGUGGGAAUGGAUGAUUGACUACUUUGUCACUGAUUCAUAAUUUCAGGAACGCAGCCGAAAGAACACUGGUAAUCGUAAGAAAUAGAAGACAACACACAGAAUUGGAUCAAAACCUUACUCGCAACUAAGUUUUGAGAAGAGAAACUUGAAAACUGGAGAAGAGCCGGAUUGGAUUGCUCUGUGGGAACACACCCACACAAAGAAUGGAACAUGGUCUAACAGAGUCCCAGGAUGUCUAUGAUCCAAAGAACUAGCUCGACUGGACUCUAGAUCACAGACAAUUUAGUCUUGGCACUUAAUUAGGAUGGCUAAAUUACAUUUGAGUUUUAUUUGAUGGAUAUUUGCUAUGAGAAUUAUGAAUUUUAUGAAUCUACAUAUUAUACGUAUGGUUUUGAAUAUUGUAAUUAAAUGCUUGUAUUUUUUUCAAGUUGCAAUAUGCUAUUGCCACAACCCA